rnacentral:rRNA from 1 species
GAUGAACGCUAGCGGGAGGCCUAACACAUGCAAGCCGAGCGGUAUUUGUCUUUCGGGACAGAGGGAGCGGCGUACGGGUGCGGAACACGUGUGCAACCUGCCUUUAUCUGGGGGAUAGCCUUUCGAAAGGAAGAUUAAUACCCCAUAAUAUAAUGAAUGGCAUCAUUUAUUAUUGAAAACUCCGGUGGCUAGAGAUGGGCACGCGCAAGAUUAGAUAGUUGGUGAGGUAACGGCUCAACAAGUCGAUGAUCUUUAGGGGGCCUGAGAGGGUGAUCCCCCACACUGGUACUGAGACACGGACCAGACUCCUACGGGAGGCAGCAGUGAGGAAUAUUGGACAAUGGGUUAGCGCCUGAUCCAGCCAUCCCGCGUGAAGGACGACGGCCCUAUGGGUUGUAAACUUCUUUUGUACAGGGAUAAACCUACUCUCGUGAGAGUAGCUGAAGGUACUGUACGAAUAAGCACCGGCUAACUCCGUGCCAGCAGCCGCAGUAA